GACGAACGCUGGCGGCGUGCUUAACACAUGCCAGUCGAACGGAAAGGCCCCUUCGGGGGUACUCGAGUGGCGAACGGGUGAGUAACACGUGAGUAACCUGCCCUUGACUUCGGGAUAACUUCAGGAAACUGGGGCUAAUACCGGAUAGGAAUCCUUGCUGCAUGGUGGGGGUUGGAAAGCUUCGGCGGUUUUGGAUGGACUCGCGGCUUAUCAGCUUGUUGGUGGGGUAGUGGCUUACCAAGGCUUUGACGGGUAGCCGGCCUGAGAGGGCGACCGGCCACAUUGGGACUGAGAUACGGCCCAGACUCCUACGGGAGGCAGCAGUGGGGAAUAUUGCACAAUGGGCGGAAGCCUGAUGCAGCAACGCCGCGUGCGGGAUGACGGCCUUCGGGUUGUAAACCGCUUUCAGCAGGGGCGAAGCUUGUGGUGACGGUACCUGCAGAAGAAGCACCGGCUAACUACGUG
rnacentral:rRNA from 1 species